GAAAAGCCCUACAGUUUUAUUUAUCAUAAGCCGGGAAACUAGUUUCCUCCAAAACCCUAAUCUUCUUCUGAGAGACUCUUAAUAUUGUGGGAUUUCUGAGAGACUUUGAGGUUAAUUAUGGAGAGGGGGCAUGUUUUUUCCGACUACGACAUGGAAUACUACGUGAACCGACUCAAGCAACUAAAAAAGCUGAAGCAAAUGCUGGUCAUAGGUAUCCUUGUUAAUGUUGCAGUGAUAUUGUUCGCCGGCUGGUACGGAGGUAUCAUAACAUUUCCAUUGUUUCCAAACUUAGCGUGGAGUAUGCCGCUUGUGCUUUUCAUGGCCAUGGAAGAAUAAAACUCGUGGAAGUCUAAUGACACUAUUUAGACGUAAGGAUGAUUAUAGCGUUUUCUUUUCUUUUUGGUUUUUGUUUAAAAUUUAUUUUU